AACAGUUAGCCAUGGAUCACUCAGCUCAUGCAUCGAUGAAGAACACAGCUGCAAGAAUUAAUGUGAAUUGCAGGACACAUUGAUCAUGGACACUUCAAACGCCCUUAUUGUGGCCCCUGGUUCCUCCCGGGGCUAUGCCUGAGUGUCA
ensembl:rRNA 5_8S_rRNA 5.8S ribosomal RNA